rnacentral:ncRNA from 1 species
AUCGCACAUCGCGGGAGCUCCACCGAGGGGCUGAGAGGGCGGCUGGGGCCGUCGACCGCAGAACCUGUCCGGGUAAUGCCGGCGUAGGGAGUUCUGCCUGAUGUCGC